GGAAGUUCGCGCCAUUUGCAGAGGGGAGGAGCCCAGCCUCUUGCGUUCCUGUGUGAUGGGGCCGGAGCCAGUAAACAGGCUUCCUUCUCGCUCUGCUGUAUAAGAAGAAGAAGUAGGAGAAACAAAAUAAGGAGGAGAAGAAGUAAAAUAAUUUGAGAAGGAAUAUGAAGGUUUUAUUGGUGGAACAGAGAAAGGAAAAGCAGUUAAGAAAACAAAGCUCAAGGUAAACAGAUACAGUAUUAGGAGAAAAUGUAGGAACUGAAACUAGCCUGAGAAGGAAGAUACUGAGUCAGAUGGAGCCAUUUAUAUAUGGAGAUGGCUGAAAUCCUGGGCUUUCUGGGCAGAAGGAUCUACGAGCGGGAUCGUGGGUGAAACAUGAAGAUGAUGGUGGACAGGUGAGCUACGCAGUUCGUGGAAGAACCAGGGGUCACAUGGCCUAGAUGCUACCCUAGAUGAGAAAGAGUCCAAUGGUUAUCAACAAGUUCUGAAAGGCAAGGCCUAAGGUACUGAAAAUUAUAUUACUCAAAGCUGAAGGCAGCAAAUCUGUUCAUGUUUACACAGUUGGGAAAGUGGACUUGUGUU
rnacentral:lncRNA from 10 species